UUUAGAUCUAUACGUGUAGUAUUUAUUGUAUUUAUAUAUGCUCUUUCUAUUUGAAUACACAUUGUAAGCCGGUGGCAACGAUUUAAAAUGUGGCUUCAACUUGGCAGCAUGCUGUUGUGUGGUGAAUUAAACAAUAGGUCGGUAUUAAUUCACGUUCACAUUUGUCCGAAAAUUAUUUCACAGAUGUCAUUGUAAAAUGUCUUAACACUUGUCAAAAUUAUUAACGUAACUGAAAUUCAUUAAGCGAAUGGCUAAAAGGAAUAAUGAUUGCGACGGUUGUAUUUAUAUAAAUUUAUAAGUAUCAAAUAUCAAGGAUAUUGAAAAAUGAAGUUUGCAAUGGCGAGUUGCAAUAACUAUUGUGCAAAUAAUUUUUUUCAGUUUUCCUUCGGAUAUAAAAGUUUCUAAAAUAUUGAACUGGGAUGCUGGAUAUAAAUGCUGGAACGGUAUAACAGAUCUUAUUUGCAAAUAAAUUUUCCCUCCAAUUGAUUAUAAAAUAUAAACUAUUGAUCAAUAAAAAAUAAUUAAAUCCACCAACGAGGUCGACUCUUCAACUAAAAAUCAAUAAAAAAAUUUUAAAUAAACAACUUAGAAAAUGUU